GGGGUCAGGGCUUCCACAGAUACCAUCACAACUGGGAGUCAGGGCUUCCACAGAUACCAUCACACAGUGGUCAGGGUUUCCACAGAUACCAUCACACUGGGAGUCAGGGCUUCCACAGGUACCAUCACACCGAGGUCAGGGCUUCCAUAAAUAUCAUCAUACAGGGGUCAGGGCGUCCAUAAAUAUCAUCACACAGGGGUCAGAGCUUCCACAGGUACCAUCACAUGGGGGUCGGGGCUUCCACAGAUACCAUCAUACAGGGGUCAGGGCUUCCACAGCUACUGUCACACAGGGGUCAGGACUUCCACAGUUGAACUUUGGGAACCAUAUUUCAGUCCAUAGCACAGUGGUAGACCAUUCUCAAAUAGGAUUGUUUUGUACCCAUCUGCUCACAAUUGCUGAUAGCUCACCCUGUUGGCGUGCCGUGGAUCUUUUAUGCUGAACUAGGGACAUCAGGAUGAUUGGGUCUUUAUGCUCAGACAGGAUCGUCUGGGGCUGCCCCAGGACAUCCCAGCAUGGGUGCAAACCAAGAACUCCUGGACCCUUAGUGCAGGUGCAGGGAAAGGGACCCUACCUGUUGUGGGCACAGCAGGAAUUUGGAAGCCUUGAAAUUUGUCUAAGUCCAGGUGGCAUGACUCACUGAGUGACAGCGUUCUAAACUCAUCCAAUAGCAUAAGGUGUCCUGGCCACGUGUACAAAAGGCACUGAGCCCCCGUUCUGGGAUCCUCAGAGUUAGAGGGAUGGCAUCUCACUGCACCUCAGCUGUCAGGCCCCAGACGUGGUGUGCAUCACGGGAAGACAUAGAGGAGCCACGCAGAGCUACUCUGCCCACGGGCAUGCUUGUCUUACGUUUAUCCUCUGUAGGGCUUACUUGUAGCCUUGGGGUAAAGUAAAAGUGAUCUCGAAUCAAGUCCAAGCUCAUGCGCAGCAUCCUUGAGCCCAGCCAAAGCCCUCUGUGUUCU
rnacentral:lncRNA from 1 species